ncrna:unclassified sequences TwoGGAY RNA
AAGAAGAGUGGAAGAAAAUACUGCAGGAGCACCUGACACAAAUAGGCUUCUUCCAGCAUGGACGCAUGGGCGAGGCGUUAUGCGCCAUGGACGGCGCAUAAAAGCCGGUUGUGUCAAAAAGCCACAACCGGCAUAUGCAAUUCGUACAGACACUUAGCAGCGUAGUUC